rnacentral:rRNA from 1 species
AUUGAACGCUGGCGGCAUGCUUUACACAUGCAAGUCGAACGGUAACAGGGUGCUUGCACCGCUGACGAGUGGCGAACGGGUGGGUAAUGCGUCGGAACGUGCCGAGUAGCGGGGGAUAACGCCGCGAAAGUUGUGCUAAUACCGCAUACGUACUGAGGUAGAAAGUGGGGGACCUUCGGGCCUCACGCUAUUCGAGCGGCCGACGUCUGAUUAGCUAGUAGGUGAGGUAAAGGCUCACCUAGGCGACGAUCAGUAGCGGGGCUGAGAGGAUGAUCCGCCACACUGGGACUGAGACACGGCCCAGACUCCUACGGGAGGCAGCAGUGGGGAAUUUUGGACAAUGGGCGAAAGCCUGAUCCAGCCAUGCCGCGUGUCUGAAGAAGGCCUUCGGGUUGUAAAGGACUUUUGUCGGGGAGGAAAUCCCCAGCGUUAAUACCGCUGGGGGAUGACAGUACCUGAAGAGUAAGCACCGGCUAACUACGUGCCAGCCGCCGCCGUAAAAC